UACGUAGGGGGCAAGCGUUGUCCGGAUUUAUUGGGCGUAAAGAGCGUGUAGGCGGCCAUGCAGGUCCGUUGUGAAAACUCGAGGCUCAACCUCGAGACGCCGAUGGAAACCGCAUGGCUAGAGUCCGGAAGAGGAGAGUGGAAUUCCCGGUGUAGCGGUGAAAUGACGCAGAUAUCGGGAAGAACACCCGUGGCUAAGGCGGCUCUCUAGUACGGUACUGACGCUGAGACGCGAAAGCGUGGGGAGCGAACAGG
rnacentral:rRNA from 1 species